GUGGGGUAAUGGCCUACCAAGGCGUCGACGGGUAGCCGGCCUGAGAGGGUGGACGGCCACAUCGGGACUGAGAUACGGCCCAGACUCCUACGGGAGGCAGCAGUGGGGAAUAUUGCACAAUGGGCGGAAGCCUGAUGCAGCGACGCCGCGUGGGGGAUGACGGCCUUCGGGCUGUAAACCUCUUUCGACAGGGACGAAGUGAAAAUGACGGUACCUGUAUAAGAAGCACCGGCUAACUACGUGCCAGCAGCCGCGGUAAUACGUAGGGUGCGAGCGUUGUCCGGAAUUACUGGGCGUAAAGAGCUCGUAGGUGGUUUGUCACGUCGUCUGUGAAAUUCCGGGGCUUAACCUCGGGCGUGCAGGCGAUACGGGCAAUACUUGAGUGCUGUAGGGGAGACUGGAAUUCCUGGUGUAGCGGUGAAAUGCGCAGAUAUCAGGAGGAACACCAAUGGCGAAGGCAGGUCUCUGGGCAGUUACUGACGCUGAGGAGCGAAAGCAUGGGUAGCGAACAGGAUUAGAUACCCUGGUAGUCCAUGCCGUAAACGGUGGGCGCUAGGUGUAGGGGACCUCCACGUUCUCUGUGCCGUAGCUAACGCAUUAAGCG
rnacentral:rRNA from 1 species